rnacentral:rRNA from 1 species
UACGUAGGUGUCAAGCGUUGUCCGGAUUUAUUGGGCGUAAAGCGCCCGCAGGCGGCUUGCCAAGUUCGAUGUGAAAUCUCCCGGCUCAACUGGGAGGGUGCAUCGAAAACUGGCAGGCUCGAGAACGGUAGGGGUGAGUGGAACUCCAGGUGGAGCGGUGAAAUGCGUAGAUAUCUGGAGGAACACCGGUGGCGAAAGCGGCUCACUGGACCGUCACUGACGCUGAGGUGCGAAAGCUAGGGUAGCAAACGGG